rnacentral:rRNA from 1 species
AGUGGAUGGGGAGCAACCUAGUUGUGCGUGUGUAAAGGUAGUGCCAAGAAAAGCGAUGAUCAUGUUGAAAAUCAAUUCCCGGUACCCGAAACCGACACAGGUGGGCAAGUAGAGAAUACUGAGGGGCGCGAGGUAACUCUCUCCAAGGAACUCGGCAAAAUGACCCCGUAACUUAGGGAGGAGGGGUGCCACCGAGAGGUGGUCGCAGUGAAGAGGCCCAGGCGACUGUUUAGCAAAAACAUAGGUCUCUGCAAACUCGAAAGAGGAGGUAUAGGGGCUGACGCCUGCCCAGUGCCGGAAGGUUAAAGAAGUUGGUCAGUCUUAGGAUGAAGCUAGCGACUGAAGCCCCGGUGAACGGCGGCCGUAACUAUAACGGUCCUAAGGUAGCGAAAUUCCUUGUCGGGUAAGUUCCGACCCGCACGAAAGGCGUAACGAUCUGGGCGCUGUCUCGGAGAGAGGCUCGGCGAAAUAGGAUUGUCUGUGAAGAUACGGACUACCUGCAUUUGGACAGAAAGACCCUAUGAAGCUUUACUAUAGCUUGGAAUUGUGUUCGGGCUUCCUGUGCGCAGGAUAGGUGGGAGGCGUAGAAGGUAUUCUUGUGGGGAUACUGGAGCCAACGGUGAGAUACCACUCUCAGGAGGCUAGAAUUCUAACUUAAUUAAGGACAGUUUCAGGUGGGUAGUUUGACUGGGGCUGUCGCCUCCAAAAAGGUAACGGAGGCGUACAAAGGUUCCCUCAGACUGGUUGGAAAUCAGUCGAAGAGUGCAAAGGCAGAAGGGAGCUUGACUGCGAGAAGUACAGUUCGAGCAGGGUGGAAACACGGUCUUAGUGAUCCGACGGUGCUGUGUGGAAGGGCCGUCGAUCAACGGAUAAAAGUUACUCUAGGAUAACAGGCUGAUCUCCCCCAAGAGUUCACAUCGACGGGGAGGUUUGGCACCUCGAUGUCGGCUCAUCGCAACCUGGGGCGGAAGUACGUCCCAAGGGUUGGGCUGUUCGCCCAUUAAAGCGGUACGUGAGCUGGGUUCAGAACGUCGUGAGACAGUUCGGUCCAUAUCCGAUGUAGGCGUGAGAAUAUUGAGAGGAGCCUUCCUUAGUACGAGAGGACCGGGAAGGACGCACCGCUGGUGUACCUGUUAUGAUGCCAAUUGUAAACGCAGGGUAGCCAAGUGCGGAGAGGAUAACCGCUGAAAGCAUCUAAGUGGGAAGCCCACCUCAAGAUGAGUAUUCUCGUGUAAGGUCACGGGAAGACGACCCGUAAAUAGGCACGAGGUGGAAGUGCAGAGAUGUAUGAAGCCGAAGUGUACUAAUAGACCGUCGGCUUGACC